GUAUAUACGUCGAGGGAGCCGAGUCUGUUCUCGCAGAAUAUUUGGGGGGUAAAGAGCGAGGUACGCGUUUUUUUUUUAAAUCUUGAUGUAGAAAACCCCCCCGCUCACCCCGGGGAGAGGUCUCUUGAAACUGUGAAAUCUUGUGUGCACAAGAAGAGGAAGAGUGAAUUUCACGUGUGUCGCGUGAGAUAUCGCAGAGAUAUGGAGGGACACCCCCUGUGGGAAAGGGCGUCUCUGGUCUGUAUAAGUCGCGGAUGUGCGAAAAAGCGGGGAUCAAACAGAAGUAUAUAUCCCCGGUAUUCCACGCCCUAUAAGAUAUGAGUUAAAUGUUUUGGGGUUUUUCCCCCCUAGAGUUGCAGAGCAAGCACAAAACACUCUCCCUGGGGAGUGCGCGCGCAAGGGUGAAAAUCAAAGGAAAUGUCGGGGGGCCGCACACACGGGGGAGCACGUGGUUUAAUUUGAAGCACAACGAAGAACCUCUUCAAAUCUUUACAUCCUUUGACAACUCUAGAGAUAGAGCCUUUCCCUUUGGGGGACAAAGUGACAGGUGGUGCAUGGUUGUCGUCAGCUCGUGUCGUGAGAUGUUGGGUUAAGUCCCGCAACGAGCGCAACCCUUAAGCUUAGUUGCCAUCAUUAAGUUGGGCCUCUUAAGUUGACUGCCGGUGACAAACCGGAGGAAGGUGGGGAUGACGUCAAAUCAUCAUCCCCUUUAGGAUUUGGGCUACACACGUGUUCCAAUGGACAAUCCAAAGGGCAGUGAAACCGGGAGGUCAAGCAAUUUCCAUAAAGUUGUUUUCAUUUGGGAUGCUGGUUGCCAAUUGGAUUCCAGGAACCGGGAUUCGUUGGUAUUGGGGGUUCACCAUGCUCGGGGGAAUCGGUUCCGGGCUUUGGUCCCCCCCCCCGGUCCCCCCAGGAGAGUUGGUACCACCCGAAGUCCGGGGGAGUAACCAUUUGGAGCCAGCCGCCGAAUU
rnacentral:rRNA from 1 species